rnacentral:lncRNA from 10 species
GGAGCUGGCCUGGGCUCUGCUCUCCUGGGCUGGGGCGCAGGCAGGGCUCAGGCAGGCUGGGGCUGGACGCAAAGGACCUCAAACUUGGAGGGCCUAGCUGGGGAGAGGGUGCAGCCACCCAGUCGUUUCCCUGUGUCUUGGAGUCUGGUGUGGGCACGAAGGGCAGAAGCACAGCCUGGUGGGGGGUUCCUCAACACCGACCCCAUGUUCCUGGCAGGAGCCAGAGUGACCCCUCGACCUGUCAGCCAUGGGGGAGAUGGAGCAACUGCGUCAGGAAGCGGAGCAGCUCAAGAAGCAGAUUGCAGUAACUCCAGAGCCCUACCCCUGGGGCCCCAGAAAACAGCUGGGGACAUGAGGAGCGUGGCCCAGGGGGAGGGGGCUGGGUUUGCUCUUGAGUGACUAGAAGUGACCAGGGACUUUCUAAACUUGGUUCGCAUAUUUGAGACCCCCAAGCCCCAGAGCCCCAAGACCAACCUGCCCUGAAGGCCCAUGCACCUGCCACCCCCACCUCGCCCUUGCUCCCCUGAUGUCUGCUUUCCCUGCAGGAUGCCAGGAAAGCCUGUGCUGACGUUACUCUGGCAGAGCUGGUGUCUGGCCUAGAGGUGGUGGGACGAGU